GUCACAGAAAUGACAAUAAACCUGACUUGAUACUGUAUUCAAUAUUAAACCUGAUUCUCAUUCUUCACUGCCUACUGCAAAUGCUGGGCCAUCAUUCCGGGAGCGGAGCCCUUUCCAAAGCGCUCGGAACCCUGGGUAAGAAAUACCGCCAUUACCAUCGAUCCUCGCAGCGGCAUUUGAUCCUUUUCACUAUAAAAACAGAAAGGUAAUCGAUCUUGUACUUUAAUUACUUUUGUACUUAAAUGAACUCACAGGGUCUGUUGAAUAUUUUUCCAGCCUAUUUUAAUUUCAGCAAGCUACUGUCUGUACUAUCUUCUCUCCUCGACGUUACCAUGGAAUGAGCGACUGUAGCUACAAGUCCAACCCUAGCCGUGCCGGAUUGGCUGUCAGCACUGAUUGAUGGGUGAUGUGGGCGGGAGGACGAAUUCAGCCCUGAAUGGCUGAUGAUAGUGAAGGCUCUGCUUGCAUUUAUUGCUCUCUCCAGAUGAUUGACAGACAGUUUUGGGCGAGUAGUUGCUCGGGAACUCGAACCCCGAAUGGUUUUUCUGAAAGUUGGGCAUAUCCUAUCUUGCAAGCAUUGCUGAACGUUUCAUGUUUUAGGAUCUGGUGCUUCCCCGGUGUACAUGACGAAUAAACCCCUCCUGGGCUUCCUGCCGGGUACAGGCAUCGAUUACAACCGACGUUUCGAUGACAAAAUCUGCCACUCUGCCCGAGAAGAGUUUAUUUGUUCCACGUUCUAUUUGGUCUGUGCGUAUGAUUGGCCGAAGCUGUGGGCGGGAUGUAGAACAAAUCGCCCAUUGGUUGCGUGUAGUCUUGAUUGAUGGGGACGGGGGUUAGUCAGUCAGGGAGACUUCCGGCGGGGCUUUGUAAGUUUGUACCGGUUUUGCUCAACAAAAACCGAGGCGAGAAGCGGCGACGACUGUUCCUGAUGGGAGUGUGCAUGGGAUCGCGGGGUCGCGCACGGGGAGACCUGAGGUCUCCAGGCAUCCCGGGUCCAGAUUCAGGCCCAAUCCCCGGCCUUCUCUGGUUUUUGGCCGCAGGCAGGGAGAACGAGGAUUGGCCCCGAAGAUCUCCAGUCACCGAGGAAUGUCACAGACGCAAUCCGAGACGUCCUUGACCCUGGCACCUGGGAGGCAAGAUACCACCUGGGGGUCUCUUGGCAUCCACAGACUCUCCUAUCUACUCCUCAAACUAUGGAAUCUGCUAUCACCACUGCAUUUCUCCUCUGCCCCCUUCCCUUCAGAGAUCUGGUUGCUGCAGCUCGUCCAGAUUCCUUCAAGAUUACCACAGUCUUUUUACGAAGCCUCCAUUUCGCUUACUCUCAGAAGGAAUAAGAAUCCUACUGAAUGUUCUUCGUAUAGACCUAUCUCUUUACUCAAUUUUGCUACUAAAAUUUUAUCUAAUGUGUUGGCUCGCAGACUUUAAAAUAUUAUAUCUUCUAUAGUUUCAUAUGAUCAGACAAGAUCCAUUAAAAAUUGAUAUUCCCAUUUUAACAUACGGCGUUUGUUAAAUGUUAUGCAUUCUCCAUCUAAGGAAAUAUCGGAAUGUGUGAUAUCUUUGGAUGCGGAGGCGGCCUUUGACGGAGUUGGAUAGAAUUAUCUUUUUACAUCCUUAGAAAAAUUUAAUUUUGGACCUGAUUUUAUUCAUUGGAUUAAAUUACUUUAUUUAUUUCCUUCUGCUUGGGUUCUUACUAAUUUUCAGAAUUCUAAAACUUUUAAACUCCAACGUGGAACUAGACAAGGUUGUCCUUUGAGCCCUCUGCUUUUUAUUUGCCAUUAGAACCCUUAGCAAUUGCUUCUCGAGAGUCUAAAGAGAUUUCUGGUAUUUUAAGGAGAGGUACAUAAAGUGUUGCUCUAUGCUGAUGACUUAUUGCUUUUUAUCUAAUGUUACAACUCCUUUACCAUAUGUGUUCCAUUUACUGACUAAUUUUAGUCUGUUCUCAGGAUAUAAAUUAAAUUUACAUAAGAGUGAACUGUUUCCUUUAAACAAUUUAAUACCACCUUUUAAAAUUUUAAGAAAACAAUUUACGUAUUUAGGAGUAACAAUCACAAUGAAUUGUAAAGAUUUAUUUAAGGAAAAAAUUUUAACUUUAUUGAAUUAUGUUAAAAACACUAAUUGGUUGCCUCUCUAUCACUGAUUGGCCGAAUUAAUUCUAUUAAAACAAAUAUCUUACUUAAAUUUAUAUACCUUUUUCAAGCUGUGCCUGUGUUUAUUCCUAAAUCUUUUUUUGACUCUUAGGAUUCAAUUCUCUUUUAUGGAAGAAUAAAAAACCUCGAAUAAAUAUAUUUCACCUUCAAAAAACCAAACAAAAUGGAGGCUUUGCCUUACCCAAUUUUAGAUUAUAUUAUUGGGCAGUUAAUAUACGAAAUAUUACAUUCUGGAUAUUACAUUAACCAUGGGAAUUGCCCUAUAUGGGUUUCUUUGGAAGUCAAUUCUGUUAUGAAAUUUUCCAUUACUUCCUUACUUGGAUCCUCGCUUCCUCUAUCUUUAAAUAAACUAACUGACAAUGUGGUGGUCAAACAUACUUUGAAGAUUUGGUUACAGUUUAGAAAACAUUUUGGUUUAUUGAGAUUCUCCCACUCGAGUCCCAUCCUUUCUAAUUGCUUUUUUAAACCAUCUUUAAUGGACCUAUCUUUUAAAGAAUGGGAUAGAUUGGGUAUUGAACAUUUUCAGGAUUUGUUUGAUGGAGGGAAUUUUUCUUCUUUUGUGCAACUUUCAACAAAAUUUAACCUUUCCAAUACUCACUUUUUUCAAUAUUUACAGAUUAGAGAUUUUUUAGGAUCCCAAUUACAUACAUUUCCUACAAGCCCAGAUAAGAAUAGGUACAACUUUUAAUCUGAAACCUUUUGACAACGGUUUAAUAUCUCUCAUUUACGGUCUGCUGAUGGGACUGAAAAGGCCUCUUUAGAUAAAAUUAAAGGAGACUGGGAAAAGGAUUUGCAGAUUCUCAUAUCUGAAGAGAACUGGAAGACUAUUUUAAAAUUGAUUAAUUCAUCAUUAUGUGCUCGUCAUUCUUUAUUACAAUUCAAAGUGGUACAUAGAGUUCAUAUGUCUAAAGGCAAGCUCUCUCAUUUCUAUGCAGAUAUUUCCCCUUACUGUGAUAGAUGUACUAAUGGAGUGGUCACACUAAUUCAUACGUUUUGGACAUGUGCGAGCCUUUAAAAAUUUUGGAAAGAUGUAUUUCAAACUUUUUCUGUACUCUUCAAUGUUAGUUUUAAGCCCAAUCCCUUGACUGCCAUGUUUGCUAUUGUUGAGGAUAGUAUUACAAAACUGAAGCCAUCUAGUUUGCAGGUAUUGUCCAGGCUUGCACCCUGGAAACUUUCCAAGGCGUAAAUCCGUGGUCUAUCGAGACUAACGGAGGCCUACUACUACUAUUGGCCUUUAUGUCUCUUAUGGCCAGGAGGGCGAUCUUGCUGAAGUGGAAGGAGGCUGCCUCGCCCACUCAUGUUCAAUGACUAUCUGAAGUUACGUUGCGCCUUGAUCUAGAGAAGAUUCAUUGUUCGACUUCUGAUUCUAAACAUGAUUUCCUAAAGUUAUGGGGACCCUUUCUGAGUAUUUUCAUAAUCUUUGAACUGUUAUUAAAGUAUGGUUCUGAGCCAUUAUUAUUAUAUUAUAUGGUAAGGUUUUUUUUCUUUUAUUUUUCACCAACCAGCUCAUUUGGUAGUGGGGGUAGGUAUUUUAAAAAAUAAAAUACAAUCACUCUACUUUAUUUCAUAAUUCAAUCUUUUUUCUACAUGAUUGAUUUGGAAUAUGGGAUACUGUGAUCAUAUUACUGUGAUUUAAAUGUAAUGUAAUUCGUACUUGUAUCCUUAUGAAUUUUGUAUUUAUACUCAUGCAAUUUAUAUAUUAAAAAUAUUUAAAGAGAAAUUAUCACCAAAGCCUCAACUAUAACCCCUGCCAUUUCUUUCAGUACCCUGGGAUGCAUUCUGUCAGGACCAGGGGACUUAUCUAUCUUCAGGCCCACAAGUUUGCUCAGCACUACCUCUUUAGUGAUAGCCAUUAUAUUGAGGUCCUCACCUCCCAGUGCAUCCGUAGCAUCUAUCUUUGGCAUGUUUGACAUGUCCUCCACUUUGAAGGCCAACACAAAACAGUCACUCAAAGCCUUGGCCAUUUCCUCAUUACCCAAUAUCAAUUCCCCCUUCUCAUCCUCCAAGGGACCUACGUUCACUUUUGCCACCCUUUUUCACUUUAUAUAAUUAUAAAAACUUUUAUUAUCCAUUUUUAUAUUUCCUGUUAGUUUAGUUUCAUAAUCUACCUUCCCUUUCUUUAUUGUUCGCUUAGUCCUUCUUUGUUGCUUUUUAAAGUUUUCCCAAUCUUUCAGUUUCCCACUACUCUUGGAGACUUUGUGUGCAUGAGCUUUUAGUUUGAUGCCUUCCUUUAUUUCCUUAGUUAUCCAUGGAUGGCUCUCCCACCCUUAUUGCUCUUGCUUUUAACUGGAAUAUACUUUUGUUGAGCACUGUGAAAAAUCUCUUUGAAAGUCUUCCAAUGUUCCUCAACUGUUCCACCAUAUCACCUGUGUUCCCAAUCUACCCUAUCCAACUUCUCCUUCAUCUCAUGGUAAUCUCCAUUGUUUAGAAAUAAUACACUGAUUUUAGAUUGAACUAUUACACAUCAACUUGCAUGAGAAACUCAAUCAUACUGUGAUCACUCUUUCCAAGAGGAUUCCUAACUACAAGUUCACUAAUUUUACCUGUCUCAUUGCACAGGACCAGAUCUGUGAUAGCAUAUUUCCUUGUAGGUUCAGUAACACGCUGUUCAAAAAAGCCAUCAUGGAUGUAUUCUACAAAGACCUCAAGACUACCUCGACCAAAUUGAUUUACUCAAUCUAUGUGCAAGUUAAAGAUCCCUCAUGAUAUCUGCUGUUCCAUUCUUACAUGCCUCAGAUAUUCCUGUUUAUUGCCUGUGCCACUGUAAUGCUAUUAUUUGGUGGCCUAAAGACAACUCUCACGUGAUUUUUUUCCCUUUACUAUUCCUAAUCUCUACCCACGAUUUAAACAUUCUGCUCCUUAGACCUUAUAUUGGCUCUAUUGCCCUGAUCGCAUCCUUAAUUAAGAGCACUACCUGACCGCCCUAUCCCCUGUAUUACCUGAUAUCCUAAUCCUCUCCACCCUGCAACUAUAUCUCUGUAAUGGCCACUAAACCAUUCCCCUUUAUACUGAUUUAUGCCACAAGUUCACUGACCUUGUUACGAAUACUACAGGCAUGCAUUAAAGUGCCCUUACACUCAUGGUCCCUUUAAAAUCUAGUAACCUUUGACUUUUCGGCACUCCACCCUUUUCUCAUUUUUAACUUUUGUUUUCUCUUUAUCCACAAUUUUCUUUUACUGUAUCCGUACUUCUCCAAUCUGUUGAUCCCACCCUCUAUUAUUUAGUUUAAAGGCCUAGUUAUGCGAUUCACUAGGACCCAGGUCCCAUCACAGUUCAGGUGAAGCCCAUCCCAUUGGUACAAGUCCCUCCUUCCCCAAUACUGGUGCCAAUUUCCCAUGAAUUCAAACCCACUUCUUCCAUACCAAUCCUUGAACCACGCAUUUAACGCUCUAAUCUUCUUAACUCUCUGCUAACUUGCAUAUGGCUCAGGUAGUAAUCCAGAGAUUACCUUUUUGGUUCUGCCUUUUAAUUUAGUCCCUAGCUCCUCAAAUUCCCUCAGCAGAAUCUCUUUUAUCAUUCUACCUACAUUGUUGAUUCCCACAUGGACCAGGACAACUGGGUCUUCACCCCCAACCCAGCAAACUCCUCUGCUGGUCAGAAAAAAAUGUCCUGAACACAGGUGGACCUGUGUCAGGUGUGUGUGUGUGUGUGGGGGGGGGGGGUGUGGAGGAGAGGUAGGGUGAUAGGGAGGGUAGGAGAGGGGUCCAGGGGACAGAGGGGCUGGUGAGAAGGGGUAGAGCAGGUCAGGGAAGGAGAGAGAGGGAGAGAAAGAGAUGGAGUAGGGGCAGAGUUAAAGGGAAACUGAACAGGAAUCACCGAGUCCUACAACACAGAAACAUGCUGGCCCUUCAGCCCACUAUAUCUAUCCUGCCCAUUGUACUGUAGCCUUCCCUGCUGUUAUGACUCAAGCGCUCAUCCAGUUAACUCUGAACUUUUGUCAGAGUCUCUGCCUUCACUAGCGCUUCCGGCAGUGUUCCUGAUUCUGACCCUCUUUUGCUAGGGGAAGAACUCAUUGGAUCCCCUCUAAAUCAACCUAUGUCCAUGAUCAUUUUGUGUUUCGAUGCUCAGGUACUGUCAAUAACAGUCUCAGAGGAGGUGGGUGGGGGUCUACCAUUGACCCACAUAUGCCAUACCCUGCCCUGUCCCUAUUUGACUUUGCCUUUGCACUUAAAUCUGACUAGUCAGCGACGUUGCCUAACUUUCCAACUGAUCCAUAUCCUGCCUUAGCCCUAGAGAAUCAUCCUCGCAAAUCCAAACUUACUGAUUACAUCCCCUGCAUUGCCAUCAAAGGACUCAGCACCGAUCCUAGUGGCACAUCGCUGGUCACAGACCUCAAAUCAGAAACAUCUCUCCAUUAUAACCAAUCUGCUUUGCCAGUUUGCCCUAGAUCCUACGAGUUCUAACCUGGAGCUUGUCCUCGUCAAAAUUCAUGUGGGCACUGUUUGCAUGGAGCAAGGAGGAGACCCGAUCAGCAGGAUUAAACAUUUUACUCAGUCAUGCGAUUAACGGUAUACGAUGGAUAAUUUACCGUGCACGACCCUGAGAAGUAGCGCACACUCACUUGAAAGCCCAAAAGAAGUGCACGCACAUAGGAGGACCAAAUUGAUUCACCGCACAAUCGACCCACUCCAUGUGCAUUCACUACCUUCUUGCAAUCGAUUGGACAGGCACCAUCGACUACACUCCCCUUAUCAAUGCAUUUAGUUACCUGCUCAAACUCAAACAGUAAGUUUGAGAGACAGAGUUCCACCACCAGCAUUGCUAUUGCUGAUCAAUCCCUGGCCUUUCAAUUGAAGAUAAAUGCUAUCCCUUAGAAUUUUUAUCCAAUUUUCCCUACCAAGAGAUUUCAAAAGACUGAGAUCAAAUGGUUUAAGAUACAGAAUUUGAAAACAUCAAAAAGCUAUACAGCACCAAAGAAGGCCCUUCAACCCAACUUGUUCAUACUAAGUCGAGCUGGUAUCAUUUGGCUGCGUUUCCCUCUAAACCGCAUGUGAGGUGACGAGAUAGAUUGGCUCAUUGAGCAGUGUCACAAAAAUCUCAUAUACAACAUCAGCAAGUUGAAGAAACUGAUUAUGGACCAGAACGGGGAAAGGGAAGUCGAGAGUCAUUGAGUGGUCAGUGGUGAAAAGGGUGAGUUUCAAGUUCCUGGAUGACAACAUCUUGCAGAAUCCAAACUUGACCCAACACAUCACACAAUCACUUAAUUAGGAGUUUGAGAUUUGAAAUGUUAUCAAAGACUUACAAAGGAAAGCAUUCUGACUGGUUACAUCACCAUCUCAUAUGGAAGCUCCACUGCACAGGGCCGCAAGAGGGUUGUAGAUUCAGCCAGCUAUGCAACAUUAAUGACAUCUUCACAAGGCCCUGGCUGAAGAAGGUGGCAUCCAUCAAUAAAGACGCUCACCAUCCCAGACAUGCCUUCUUUUUGCUCAACGAUUCAGCAACAGCUUCUUCCCCUUUGCCAUCAGAUUUAGAACAGUCCAUGAAUACUACCUUGUUAUUCCUGAUUUUUGCACCAUUUUGUAAUUUAAAAUAAAGUAUUUGCACUGCACUGCUGCUACAAAAACAACAAAUUUCAGUCAGUGAUAAAGCUGGUUCUGACCCGCUGAGAUCAGAUGCUGUCUGACACUGUAUUUCUCCAGCAAUUGUUUUCACUCCAGGUUCCAGCAUGUUGUCUUUCGUGUCUCCUCAAAGCUUUCAACCUGUACAAAUGCCGUAAUUGCACCCACCUCAACUACUUCUUAUUCCAUAUACACACCACCCUCUGCAUGGAAAAUAAAGUUCCCAUUUAAAUAUUUCCCUACGUCCUCUAGUUUUGUACCCCUUUAGCUGGGGGAAAAGACUUUGGCUAUCCACUUUAUCUAUGCCCUCAUGAUUUUCUGUGCAAGGUCACCCUCAGCCUUCUCUGUUUUGGGGAGAAAAGUCCCAGUCCCAUCUAUCCUUAUAACCCAAGCCCUCCAGUCCUGGUAACAUCCUUGUGAACCUUUUCCGCAGCUACUCUAGUCUAGUAUAUCCUUGCUAUAGCAGGGUGACUGGAACCAUACGCAGUUCUCCAAACAUUAAAAUGGACUUUGUUUAUUACAUUCUUUCUUGUAAAAAUUAGGUAUACUUUAUUUUUCUUGUGAAUGUUGCUUAUAUGAUGCAUGUGGACAAUGACUUAGAUCGAAAAGGUCAGGGUGUCGGGACCGGAGGUGAGGGAUGGGCUAGUUUUGCUCCCUGCUCCGCUGUGCGCUGAACUAAGGGUCUGUGGACAGGACUGUCUUUGUGGACUUCAGUUCAGAAUGCUAUUUGCUUGUGUGCAUUGUUUGCUGAUUUGUUUUUUUCUCUCUGCACAUUGGGUAUUUGAUGGUGAUUUUUAUAAAUAGAUUCUUUUGGGUUUCUUUGUUUUGUGGCUGCCUGUUUGGAGACAAAUCUCAAGGUUGAAAAUUUGGACUUUUGUUCUAGAGGAACCUUGUACAGAUGUGUCCAUUGAAAUUGAACUAUUUGCCUAUGAUUUUGAUUGCACCUGCGUGUGUGACAUAAAACUCAACUUUGCAGUGUGGGCUUGGCAGUGUCUUGUACAGCUGUAACACAACCUCCCAGGAUUCUUGUACUCAGUGCCUAUUGAUGAUAUCUGAGGGACACAGAGGACAGGAGCUGGAGAUCACUUGGACUAGCAGCUCAGCAAUAACAGGCGAGAAGGAGCCGGCUCAGACGUAAUGACCUGAUAGUUUAUUACCACAUACACCGUCUCACUGAGGAGGUUCACCUGGUUCCUUAUUAAACACAACCUGUAAGUAAUAAAUAUUACAAAGGUUUUUUGAAAAACUUGCUUAUUUUGUCAGUCAUUGGAUGACUAAGUCUUGGCAGUUUCUUUUUUCCCCCCCAUUGGUAUAUAACAUCUGUGAUACAGCAUCGAGUACACAAAUUCAGCACAAUACAAAAUAAUAAACAAGCUGAGCAAACAUCAAUCUACUGUUUGUUUUUCUUUAAAAAAUAGAACAAAAAGAAAAACUAAAUUAAAAAUUUAAAAAUGAGAGAGAGUAGAGGAAGGACUGACCCCAUUGUUAGGAGAAAGGGAGAGAUGGUUAACGCCCAGUUAAACUGUAAACACGCAACACAAACCACUGGGAACGCUGUCCGCUGUAUCCCGGGUAUAGACCGUACAGCCAGCGGGCGCACUUCACUUAAACAUGGCUUCAGUUGCUGAAAUCAAGAGGCAGAAGGGGACUAGAGAGGGGGACAGUUAGUCUUGUAGGACCAACACUAGUGUGUGUGGGGCAAUAGGGCCUUUGUAUCUCACUCCUGCCUUCCUGGAGUGCAGUCGGCACCCACAGUGGAUUCUGCCCCAGUGCCGGAAAGUAUUCGCUGGGCAUUGACGGGGGUGGGAGCUUCACCCACAGGCCACUCUGGCCCUUGGUAGGACAGAAUUGCUCAAGUCCGAGCCACGGAAGGGUGCACUGUGUCAGGUGGUGAAUGCAGCCCACUGACAUCCACCAGACCCCUCCCUGUCCCACCACUAAACCAUGCUGCUGCUCUGGGAGAGAGCUACGACCCGAAUCCAGCUGGAAAUGGAAGAAGGUGGGUACAUGGUGGGAGGAGUGGGUGUAAGGAGAGCUGCUGCCUACACUGGAGUGUCUGGGCAGAGCUCCCAGACUGAAGACCAGUGCUGAACUAUCCUCCCCCAGGGGUCCCUAUCAACCCCCACCCUGCUAUCAACCCUGCUCUCAUGCCCAA